rnacentral:rRNA from 1 species
ACGAACGCUGGCGGCAUGCCUCACACAUACAAGUCGAACGCGACCUUCGGGUCUAGUGGCGCCCGGGUGCGUAACGCGUGGGAACCUGCCCUUAGGUUCGGAAUAACUCCCCGAAAGGGGUGCUAAUACCGGAUAAUGUCUUCGGACCAAAGAUUUAUCGCCUUUGGAUGGGCCCGCGUUGGAUUAGCUAGUUGGUAGGGUAAAAGCCUACCAAGGCGACGAUCCAUAGCUGGUCUGAGAGGAUGAUCAGCCACACUGGGACUGAGACACGGCCCAGACUCCUACGGGAGGCAGCAGUGGGGAAUAUUGGACAAUGGGCGAAAGCCUGAUCCAGCAAUGCCGCGUGAGUGAUGAAGGCCUUAGGGUUGUAAAGCUCUUUUACCCGGGAUGAUAAUGACAGUACCGGGAGAAUAAGCUCCGGCUAACUCCGUG